CAUGCAAGUCGAACGCCCGUAGCAAUACGGGAGUGGCAGACGGGUGAGUAACACGUGGGAACAUGCCUUUCGGUUCGGAAUAACCCAGGGAAACUUGGGCUAAUACCGGAUACGCCCUUCGGGGGAAAGAUUUAUCGCCGAAAGAUUGGCCCGCGUCCGAUUAGCUAGUUGGUGGGGUAAUGGCCCACCAAGGCGACGAUCGGUAGCUGGUCUGAGAGGAUGAUCAGCCACACUGGGACUGAGACACGGCCCAGACUCCUACGGGAGGCAGCAGUGGGGAAUAUUGGACAAUGGGCGCAAGCCUGAUCCAGCCAUGCCGCGUGAGUGAUGAAGGCCCUAGGGUUGUAAAGCUCUUUCGGCGGGGAAGAUAAUGACGGUACCCGCAGAAGAAGCCCCGGCAAACUUCGUGCCAGCAGCCGCGGUAAUACGAAGGGGGCUAGCGUUGCUCGGAAUUACUGGGCGUAAAGCGCACGUAGGCGGAUUCUUAAGUCAGGGGUGAAAUCCCGGAGCUCAACUCCGGAACUGCCUUUGAUACUGAGAGUCUCGAGUCCGGGAGAGGUGAGUGGAACUCCGAGUGUAGAGGUGAAAUUCGUAGAUAUUCGGAAGAACACCAGUGGCGAAGGCGGCUCACUGGCCCGGUACUGACGCUGA
rnacentral:rRNA from 1 species